UACGAAGGGUGGAAGCGUUAAUCGGAAUUACUGGGCGUAAAGGGUGCGUAGGCGGUUCGUUAAGUCUGUCGUGAAAUCCCCGGGCUCAACCUGGGAAUGGCGAUGGAUACUGGCGAGCUAGAGUGUGUCAGAGGAUGGUGGAAUUCCCGGUGUAGCGGUGAAAUGCGUAGAGAUCGGGAGGAACAUCAGUGGCGAAGGCGGCCAUCUGGGACAACACUGACGCUGAAGCACGAAAGCGUGGGGAGCAAACAGG
rnacentral:rRNA from 1 species